rnacentral:misc_RNA from 1 species
CGCGCGCGCAGUUUGUGUUCCGUGGGCAGUGGGCGGCAAAUUGGUUCUUUAUUCUAUGGGGCGGCGUUGGUUGACGUUGUCGUUGAAGCUUUGGUUUUAUUAGUUGUCAACAUAGUCUUGCGCACCGACACGCAAAGCCCUCCGAUUAUGGCGAGUUCGUCCUCCGGCAUAGUCUCCGAUGACGACUCCGACGAGACAAGAACUUUCCUCCGGUCCAGCCCUGAAACAACGUCCAGGGCCUCUUACGCCGCUAGGCUCGCCGCCGAGGCUUCGCAGAUGAACACGCAAGCGGUAGAACUUGAUGUUCGGAAGGUAUUCGAUUACCUGAGGCCCAGCCGAGUAGAAUACAGCAUUGUCCGUCUUUCCCGAUGACAAAUAAGCGACACGAGCGGACACUGUCAAGAUUCACGACGUCACGGCGAGCUAGUGUGUGAACUUCAAUGGGGCGUCGCCCCAUGUCUCUCAUUUUUUGCAUUCUUUUCUGGAUUAUCAAGCAUCCUCCCAUGUUUUAAGAGUGGCUUUAUUAGUAUUCUUGGAGGAAAAGUUUCGGGAAGCGAUGGAUAGGUCCAUGCUCAAGCUGACCAUCUCAGCAGAGAAGGCCCAGAGUCGGCUGGGGGAAGGCCAUGAUAUAUUAGCCAAUAGGAAGUGGGCCAAAGAAUGCCAGUCCACGGCAGUCGCUUGUGCGUGACAUCGUCAACUGUAAGCGAAUCCGGAAGGCCACCAGUGAGGAAUUGACCUGGGAAGGCUUUGACUUCGAGAAGCUACGAAAGCAGCAGGAGCUUUUGAGCAAAGCAGCCGACGGCUUCGACGCAGACAUCAAAGAGUUGCAAGAGCGCAUCGGGCGUCUGUGACAAGUUUGGCCGAGUGUAUAUAUAGCCUUCGAGUGUUCUGUAUUCGUAAUAAAAUUAUCAGUUUCUUGUUAG